rnacentral:rRNA from 1 species
AACGUAGGAGGCGAGCGUUAUCCGGAGUUACUGGGCGUAAAGCGGAUGUAGGCGGUGGCUCGCGUCGGAUGUGAAAGCCCUUGGCUCAACCGAGGGAGUGCGUCGGAAACGGGGUCACUGGAGGCCAGCAGAGGAGCGCGGAAUUCCGGGUGUAGUGGUGAAAUGCGUAGAGAUCCGGAGGAACACCAGAGGCGCAGGCGGCGCUCUGGGCUGGUACUGACGCUGAGAUCCGAAGGCAUGGGGAGCGAACGGG